ACGGCUAGUCCUAGUUACUUGAGAGGCUGAGGUCGGAGGAUCGCUUGAGCUCCAAAUUCGAGAACAGCCUGGGCAAGACCCUGCCUCUUAAAAUCACGCCCAAAUCGUAAUAUCAAAUAUAAAUCUUUGCACUCAAACGGACAGUUCAUUACGUGGCACCGCGUCCUGUUGCGGAUCAAGGCCACCUGAGUUGGUUAGGACAGCUAAGCCCACGUCUUGGGCUGCUCGCCAGCGGUGGGGCUAGAUAUGACCUUGUGCCCGAGGAGCCCAGCGUCUUACAACUCUGCUGUGAGGGACGGGGGCUGAUUAUCAGGUCCAGAAUCACGAGUUUAGAAACAUUAACAGGAAGUACGGUACCGAAAAGUGGAAAACUUUAAGGUGCUUAUUAUUUUUCUCCUGACUUGUUCCUGUAUGUGCCGCUCCACGGGUAUCACGUCCCGGGUCCGGUGGGACCCUGGCCUGGCUGCCCUACCGGAAACGAAGCGAACUCCACCCCCAGGGGCAGCCGUCGGGCCUCAGUCCAGUCUACAUCGGGAGAGCGUGGCCCAUGCCACAGGCAGCUGGUUGGGCCCCUGGUACAAGUCUAGGGCCUGCAGCCAGGCUCGGGGGCUCCGGGGGUGCCCGCUGGCUGGGGUCUGAGGCGGCUUCUCUCGGGUACGAGAAGGCCGACUGCUGUGCAGCCGCGGGCUCGCUCGGGAAACCCACACUUACACAAAAGCGGCAGCACCACUGUGCCUAGGCUAUCGACUCCCAACAUGGGGAGACAAAAUGGCCGCCGCGCCCAGAGCCGAAAUUACAUCCGGGCUCCGCGACACGUACGAACCACAACUCCCAGAAUGCUCUGCCUCGACGGCGGGAGGCGAGACGCGCUCGGGCCCCGCUUAGGUGGCGCUAGGCCCUGUGGCUCCUCCCUGCAGCGGAAGGCCUCCGAAUACGCGGCGUCUUAGGUCGCUUCCUCCAUUCUUCGUUGCACUGGCCAACGGGACGCUUAGUCUUUUGGCAACGGGGUGAAACCUGCCUUGUGCCUGAAGAAACGAUACUUCCCGUUGUGGUUUCGGCGCCUGCGCAAAAGGCUGCGGGACGCACUCCAGUUCCCGGCAAGCCCCGCGACGCGCGUUUGCGUGCUGACGCACGGAGUUAGUCGUGCUGACGUGCAGCGCGGCCCAGGCGGGGUGCGAGUGGCGCAGUCGGAGCCCGCUGCGGCCCCUGAGGAAGCCAGGAGGCGUCGGCGUCGGCUGAGGCGGGCGAACCGGCGAGGCGAGGCGGCGGCCUCAGGCCCCGAGGGACUCGGGAGCUCGCGCAGCGGCGGCGGCAAGACCUCUCCCCCUCGGAGGCGGCGGGCGGAGGCGGCGGGAGCGGUGGUGCCCCCCCCGGGCACGGGGCCAUGUACAACGGGAUCGGGCUGCCGACGCCCCGGGGCAGCGGCACCAACGGCUACGUCCAGCGCAACCUGUCCCUGGUGCGGGGCCGCCGGGGUGAGCGGCCUGACUACAAGGGAGAGGAGGAACUGCGGCGCCUGGAGGCUGCCCUGGUGAAGCGGCCUAAUCCUGACAUCCUGGACCACGAGCGCAAGCGGCGCGUCGAGCUGCGAUGCCUCGAGCUGGAGGAGAUGAUGGAAGAGCAGGGGUACGAGGAACAGCAAAUUCAGGAGAAAGUGGCGACCUUUCGACUCAUGUUGCUGGAGAAGGAUGUGAACCCUGGGGGCAAGGAGGAGACCCCAGGGCAGAGGCCAGCGGUCACGGAGACUCACCAGUUGGCAGAAUUGAAUGAGAAGAAGAAUGAAAGACUCCGUGCUGCCUUUGGCAUCAGUGAUUCUUACGUAGAUGGCAGCUCUUUUGAUCCUCAGCGUCGUGCCCGAGAAGCUAAACAACCGGCUCCUGAGCCUCCCAAACCUUACAGCCUUGUUCGGGAGUCUAGCAGUUCUCGCUCACCAACCCCAAAGCAGAAGAAGAAGAAAAAGAAGAAAGAUAGAGGACGCAGGUCAGAGAGCAGCUCUCCUCGACGGGAGAGAAAGAAAAGCUCAAAGAAGAAGAAGCACAGGUCAGAAUCCGAGUCCAAGAAGCGUAAGCAUAGGUCUCCCACUCCAAAGAGCAAACGUAAAUCUAAGGACAAAAAACGAAAGCGGUCUCGAAGUACAACACCAGCCCCCAAGAGCCGCCGGGCCCACCGUUCAACUUCUGCUGACUCGGCUUCCUCCUCUGAUACUUCCCGCAGUCGGUCUCGAAGUGCUGCAGCUAAAACUCAUACAAUUGCCUUGACUGGGCGAAGUCCUUCCCCUGCUUCAGGGCGACGAGGGGAGGGAGAUGCACCUUUUAGUGAACCAGGUACUACCAACACACAACGACCUAGUAGCCCGGAGCCUGCUACAAAACAGCCUAGCAGCCCUUAUGAAGACAAAGAUAAAGACAAGAAGGAGAAAUCUGCAGCUCGACCUAGCCCCUCUCCGGAAAGGAGCAGCACAGGCCCAGAACCACCUGCUCCCACUCCGCUCCUUGCUGAGCGACAUGGCGGCUCCCCACAACCACUUGCAACAACCCCCUUAAGCCAGGAGCCAGUGAACCCCCCAUCUGAGGCCUCUCCCACUCGGGGCCGUUCACCACCUAAGUCUCCUGAGAAACUUCCCCAGUCUUCUUCCUCAGAGAGCAGCCCACCAUCCCCUCAACCUACCAAAGUUUCUCGGCAUGCCAGCUCUUCCCCAGAAAGUCCUAAACCUGCUCCAGCUCCGGGGUCCCACCGAGAGAUUUCUUCUUCUCCCACGUCCAAGAAUCGCUCACAUGGCCGAGCAAAACGGGAUAAAUCACAUUCUCAUACCCCUUCCCGUAGGACGGGGAGGUCCCGUAGCCCUGCCACCGCUAAGAGGGGGCGAUCUCGGUCUCGAACCCCUACAAAGAGAGGUCAUUCUCGAUCCCGAUCUCCCCAGUGGCGUAGGUCCAGGUCUGCACAGAGGUGGGGAAGAUCUAGAAGCCCCCAGCGACGCGGCCGCUCUAGGUCUCCUCAGCGACCAGGCUGGUCUAGGAGCAGAAAUACCCAGAGAAGAGGCAGGUCUAGGUCAGCAAGGCGAGGGAGGUCCCACUCUAGGUCCCCAGCCACUCGGGGCAGAUCUCGUUCUAGAACACCAGCCCGGCGGGGCAGGUCACGCUCUAGAACACCUGCCAGGCGGAGAUCACGAUCCAGAACACCCACCAGGCGUAGGUCUCGGUCUAGAACACCAGCCCGGAGGGGCAGGUCUCGGUCUAGAACACCUGCUAGGCGCAGAUCUAGGACCCGAUCGCCAGUACGACGGAGGUCUCGUAGUAGAUCACCAGCCAGGAGAAGUGGCAGGUCACGCUCUAGAACCCCAGCUAGACGUGGCCGCUCACGCUCCAGAACCCCAGCCAGACGUGGCCGCUCACGCUCUAGAACCCCAGCUAGACGCAGUGGUCGCUCACGCUCCAGAACACCAGCCAGGAGAGGGAGGUCUCGAUCUAGGACACCAAGACGAGGAAGAUCCCGCAGUAGAAGCUUAGUUAGACGUGGAAGAUCUCACUCUAGAUCACCUCAAAGAAGAGGCAGGUCUGGCUCAUCUUCAGACCGGAAGAACAAAUCCAGAACAUCUCAGAGAAGAAGCAGGUCCAAUUCAAGCCCAGAAAUGAAGAAAUCACGCAUUUCUUCAAGGCGGAGCAGAUCUCUGUCUUCACCACGGUCCAAAGCAAAAUCUCGCUUGUCUUUGAGGCGCAGCCUUUCAGGGUCUUCCCCAUGCCCUAAACAAAAGUCACAGACGCCACCCAGGCGCAGUCGCUCUGGAUCCUCCCAACCUAAAGCUAAAUCUAGAACGCCACCUAGACGCAGUCGCUCCAGUUCUUCUCCGCCACCUAAACAGAAAUCUAAAACACCAUCAAGACGAAGUCAUUCUAGUUCGUCUCCUCAUUCUAAAGUGAAAUCUGGAACACCACCAAGGCAAGGGUCCAUAACAAGUCCCCAGGCCAAUGAGCAAUCUGUAACGCCACAAAGACGGAGCUGUUUUGAAUCAUCACCUGACCCUGAGUUGAAAUCUAGGACCCCUUCGAGACAUAGUUGCUCAGGGUCCUCUCCUCCUAGAGUGAAAUCUAGCACACCUCCCAGACAAAGCCCAUCUAGGUCAUCAUCUCCACAACCCAAAGUGAAGGCAGUAAUAUCACCAAGGCAAAGAAGCCAUUCUGGCUCCUCUUCUCCAAGUCCUAGUAGGGUGACAUCGAGAACAACUCCACGGCGAAGCAGAUCAGUAUCUCCCUGCUCCAACGUGGAAUCCAGAUUGUUGCCAAGAUACAGUCAUUCUAGGUCCUCCUCACCAGAUACCAAAGUGAAACCUGAAACACCGCCAAGACAAAGUCACUCAGGGUCUAUUUCACCACACCCCAAAGUAAAGGCCCAAACUCCACCAGGGCCAAGUCUAUCUAGAUCAAAGUCGCCAUGUCCCCAAGAGAAGUCUAAAGACUCACUAGUUCAGAGUUGCCCUGGAUCCUUCUCUCUGUGUGCAGGAGUAAAAUCUAGCACACCACCAGGUGAGAGCUAUUUUGGACUCUCAUCUCUGCAACUGAAAGGACAAUCUCAGACUUCACCAGACCACAGAUCUGAUACUUCAAGUCCAGAAGUGAGACAGAGUCACUCAGAAUCACCAUCUCUGCAGAGCAAAUCUCAAACAUCGCCUAAGGGAGGUCAGUCCAGGUCUUCAUCUCCAAUCACUGAGCUGGCAUCCAGAUCUCCAAUAAGACAAGAUAGAGGUGAGUUGUCAGCGAGUCCUACAUUGAAAUCCGGAAUGUCUCCUGAGCUGAACAGGUUCCAGUCUGACUCUUCUUCACAUCCUACAGUGGACUCGAAUUCUUUCUUGGGGCAGAGUAGAUUGGAGACUUCUGAAUCAAAAGAGAAAAUGGCCUUACUCCCUCAGGAGGAUGCUACUGCAUCACCUCCUAGACAAAGAGACAAAUUUAGUCCCUUUCCUGUACAGGAUAGACCUGAGUCUUCACUAGUGUUCAAAGACGCACCUAGAACCCCGUCAAGGGACAGAAGUGGUGCUGGGUCAUCUCCAGAAACAAAAGAGCAAAAUAGUGCAUUGCCUACAUCAAGCCAAGAUGAAGAGUUAAUGGAGGUGGUAGAGAAGUCUGAAGAACCCACAAGCCAAGUCCUGUCUCAUUUGUCUUCAGAACUUAAAGAAAUGUCUGCAAGUAAUUUUGAAUCAUCUCCUGAAGUAGAAGAAAGGCCUGCUGUGUCUUUGACUCUUGAUCAGAGCCAGUCACAGGCUUCUUUGGAAGCAGUAGAAAUCCCUGCAGUGGCCUCAUCUUGGGGUGGGCCACAUUUUUCUCCAGAACAUAAGGAACUGUCUAACUCCCCACUCAGGGAGAACAGCUUUGAAUCAUCUUUAGAAUUUAGAAACUCAGGCCCACUUGGUACAGAAAUGAAUACUGGAUUUUCUUCUGAGGUUAAAGAAGAUUUGAAUGGACCUUUUCUUAAUCAGCUGGAAACAGAUCCAUCUCUAGACAUGAAAGAACAAUCGACAAGAUCCUCUAGACGCAGCAGUUCUGAGUUAUCCCCAGAUGCAGUGGAAAAGGCAGGGAUGUCUUCAAAUCAGAGCGUCUCUUCACCUGUGCUUGAUGCUGUACCGAGAACACCCUCGAGAGAAAGAAGUAGUUCUGCAUCUUCUCCUGAAAUGAAAGAUGGUUUACCCAGAACUCCAUCAAGGAGAAGCAGGUCUGGGUCUUCUCCAGGACUUAGAGAUGGGUCUGGGACUCCCUCGAGGCACAGCCUGUCCGGGUCCUCUCCUGGAAUGAAAGAUAUACCUAGAACACCAUCCAGAGGGAGAAGCGAAUGUGAUUCUUCGCCAGAACCGAAAGCUUUGCCUCAGACUCCUAGGCCAAGGAGUCGUUCUCCAUCAUCCCCAGAGCUCAACAACAAGUGUCUUACCCCCCAGAGAGAAAGAAGCGGGUCAGAAUCAUCAGUUGAUCAGAAAACUGUGGCUCGGACUCCCUUGGGGCAGAGAAGUCGUUCGGGAUCCUCUCAAGAACUUGAUGUGAAACCCAGUGCAUCCCCUCAGGAAAGAAGUGAGUCAGACUCUUCUCCAGAUUCUAAAGCCAAGACUCGAACCCCACUUCGGCAGAGGAGUCGCUCUGGAUCAUCUCCAGAGGUUGACAGCAAAUCUCGACCUUCUCCUCGGCGCAGUAGGUCUGGUUCCUCCCCUGAAGUGAAAGAUAAGCCAAGAGCAGCACCCAGGGCACAGAGUGCUUCUGAUUCCUCUCCUGAACCUAAAGCUCCAGCCCCUCGGGCCCUUCCCAGACGAAGCAGAUCAGGUUCAUCAAGCAAAGGUAGAGGCCCUUCUCCUGAAGGAAGCAGCAGUACCGAGUCCUCUCCUGAACAUCCGCCCAAAUCCAGAACUGCUCGCAGAGGUUCCAGGUCAUCACCAGAGCCCAAGACCAAGUCUCGUACACCACCUCGACGUCGCAGCUCUCGAUCAUCUCCUGAGCUAACGAGGAAGGCCAGACUCUCCCGUAGAAGCCGUUCUGCCUCAUCCUCACCAGAAACUCGCUCUAGAACUCCCCCAAGGCGCCGGAGAAGUCCUUCAGUGUCUUCCCCGGAGCCAGUCGAAAAGUCAAGGUCUUCACGCCGACGGCGCUCAGCUUCAUCUCCACGCGCUAAGACAACCUCAAGGAGAGGCCGCUCUCCUUCACCAAAGCCUCGUGGACUACAGAGGUCCCGUUCCCGCUCAAGGAGAGAGAAAACCAGAACAACCCGACGUCGAGAUAGGUCUGGAUCUUCUCAGUCAACCUCUCGGCGAAGACAGCGGAGCCGGUCAAGGUCACGGGUUACUCGGCGACGGAGGGGAGGCUCUGGUUAUCACUCAAGGUCCCCUGCCCGGCAGGAAAGUUCCCGGACCUCCUCUCGACGCCGAAGAGGCCGCUCUCGGACACCCCCAACCAGUCGGAAGCGUUCUCGCUCACGGACAUCACCAGCCCCAUGGAAACGCUCUAGAUCUCGAGCCUCUCCAGCCACUCACCGGCGAUCCAGGUCCAGAACCCCCCUGAUAAGCCGACGUAGGUCCAGGUCUCGAACUUCACCAGUCAGCCGGAGACGGUCAAGGUCCAGGACUUCAGUGACUCGACGAAGAUCCCGGUCAAGAGCAUCCCCAGUGAGCAGAAGGCGAUCCAGAUCCAGAACACCACCAGUAACCCGUCGUCGUUCAAGGUCCAGAACACCAACAACACGCCGGCGCUCCCGUUCUAGAACUCCACCAGUGACACGCAGAAGGUCCAGAUCUAGGACUCCACCAGUAACCAGGAGGCGAUCUCGAAGCAGAACUUCACCUAUCACUCGCAGAAGAUCAAGAUCCAGAACAUCGCCGGUCACCCGAAGGAGGUCUCGAUCUCGCACAUCUCCAGUAACUCGAAGAAGGUCCCGCUCUCGAACCUCACCAGUGACACGCCGCCGCUCUAGGUCCCGGACACCUCCAGCUAUUCGGCGCCGCUCUAGGUCUCGAACGCCACUGUUGCCACGCAAACGUUCUCGAAGUCGCUCACCACUUGCUAUCCGCCGCCGCUCCAGAUCCCGUACUCCACGAGCAGCUCGGGGCAAACGGUCCUUAACAAGAUCUCCUCCAGCCAUCCGCAGGCGUUCAGCAUCUGGAAGUAGUUCUGAUCGUUCACGAUCUGCUACUCCUCCAGCAACAAGAAAUCAUUCUGGUUCGCGGACACCUCCAGUAGCACUCAACAGCUCCAGAAUGAGCUGCUUUAGUCGUCCUAGCAUGUCCCCAACACCUCUUGACCGCUGCAGAUCACCUGGAAUGCUUGAACCCCUUGGCAGCUCUAGAACACCCAUGUCUGUCCUGCAGCAAGCCGGUGGCUCCAUGAUGGAUGGUCCAGGUCCCCGAAUACCUGACCACCAGAGAACAUCUGUGCCAGAAAAUCAUGCUCAGUCCAGGAUUGCACUUGCCCUGACCGCUAUCAGUCUUGGCACUGCUCGGCCUCCUCCGUCCAUGUCUGCUGCUGGCCUUGCUGCAAGAAUGUCCCAGGUUCCAGCCCCGGUGCCUCUCAUGAGUCUCAGAACCGCUCCAGCAGCCAACCUUGCCAGCAGGAUUCCUGCAGCCUCUGCGGCAGCCAUGAACCUAGCCAGCGCCAGGACACCUGCCAUCCCAACAGCAGUGAACCUGGCUGACACUCGAACGCCAGCUGCAGCAGCGGCCAUGAACUUGGCCAGCCCCAGAACGGCGGUGGCACCUUCGGCUGUGAACCUGGCUGACCCUCGCACUCCCACAGCCCCAGCUGUGAACCUAGCAGGGGCCAGAACCCCAGCUGCCUUGGCAGCUCUGAGUCUCACAGGCUCUGGCACCCCACCAACUGCUGCAAACUAUCCCUCCAGCUCCAGAACACCACAGGCUCCAGCCUCUGCAAACCUGGUGGGUCCUCGGUCUGCACAUGCCACAGCUCCUGUGAAUAUUGCCGGCUCCAGAACCACUGCAGCCUUGGCCCCCGCGAGCCUCACCAGUGCUAGGAUGGCUCCAACAUUGUCUGGUGCAAACCUCACCAGCCCCAGGGUGCCCCUUUCUGCCUACGAGCGUGUCAGUGGCAGAACCUCACCACCGCUCCUUGACCGAGCCAGGUCCAGAACACCACCGUCUGCCCCAAGCCAGUCUAGAAUGACCUCUGAACGGGCUCCCUCCCCUUCCUCUAGAAUGGGCCAGGCUCCUUCACAGUCUCUUCUCCCUCCAGCACAGGAUCAGCCGAGGUCUCCUGUGCCUUCUGCUUUUUCAGACCAGUCCCGUUCUUUGAUUGCCCAGACCACCCCCGUAGCAGGGUCUCAGUCCCUUUCCUCUGGGGCGGUGGCAACGACCACGUCCUCUGCUGGUGACCACAAUGGCAUGCUCUCUGUCCCUGCCCCUGGGGUGCCCCACUCUGAUGUGGGGGAGCCACCUGCCUCUACUGGGGCCCAGCAGCCUUCUGCAUUAGCCGCCCUGCAGCCAGCAAAGGAGCGGCGGAGUUCCUCCUCCUCCUCGUCGUCCUCUAGCUCUUCUUCCUCAUCAUCGUCGUCGUCGUCGUCGUCUUCCUCCUCUGGCUCCAGUUCUAGCGACUCGGAGGGCUCUAGCCUUCCUGUGCAACCUGAGGUGGCACUAAAGAGAGGACAGAACUAGAGGAAAUGGACUUAAUUUUACAGCAGGAGGGAUGGCAGUUAGACCUCAAGAGGAACUCCCUGGGCUGGAAGGAUCUUCAGAGGGUCCCCAGCCCCACCCCAGCCCCAAAGGAGGCUGUUAGAGAGGGACGUCCUCCGGAGCCAACCCCAGCCAAACGGAAGAGGCGCUCUAGCAGUUCCAGUUCCAGCUCCUCCUCUUCAUCUUCCUCCUCCUCCUCCUCCUCCUCUUCUUCCUCCUCUUCUUCCUCCUCUUCUUCUUCCUCCUCCUCUUCCUCCUCCUCCUCCUCUUCUUCGCCUUCCCCUGCUAAGCCUGGCCCUCAGGCCUUGCCCAAACCUGCAAGCCCCAAGAAGCCACCCCCUGGCGAGCGGAGGUGAGUGCUGCCUUGCCUGAGAUGGAAGGAGGGUGGGGGAGUGACUUAUCCAGAGACAGGGCCCUGGGGUGUGAGCUCCCGGCUGGGUGUCUCACGUGACCUUGGGCAUCUGGUUGUGGGGGAAGAGGCGCUUGUUCUCUCCCCCGCUCGUUGCACCUUGUUCUGGCGAAGGGCUGCGCCAUCCACAGGGGCGCUCAGGCCAGGACUGGGGGGUCCUUGGUUUCUUCCUCUCCCUCCCUCAACACAUAGCCUGGUCCCAGGGUUCUAGCUUUGUCUCCCUGUUGCUACUGCCAGGGCUCUGGUCUGGCCACCAUCAUCUUCUCCCGACUCUGUCCACAGCCUCCUCCCUGUCUCCCCGCCUCCACGCCAUUCUCUUCCACAUGUAGCCAGAGGGACCUUUCUAAAACGCACAUCUGGCUACUUCCCUCCACUCCACAAAUCCUUCGGGACGCCCUGUGGCCUGCAGGACAAAGCCCCACCUCUGCGGGAGUGGCGUGUGAGGCUCUUCACCAACGGGCCUUGCCCGCCCUGUGUUCUCCUCCUGCCCGCCCCCACACAUGCCCUGUGCUCCAGCCACACCCAGCGCCUUGCAGUUUAAGGAGAGCCCAUGCCUUUGGACAUGCUGUUCCUUCUGCCUGGAAUUUCCUUGUCCGCCUGGUGAACUCCUCGUUCUGCAAGACUCCGCUCAAACAGCACCUUCGAGAAGACUGCCCUGCCCCUUCCCUGCCCUGCCCCAUGUCCCCCUUCCUUGGGUCCCCAGAGCCACGCACAUCCAGCCCUGCUUCCCACACACGGGGCCGUGCGUGCCUUCCUUCACCACUGAGCUCCUUCAAGGGCAGGGAAUGUCUUUUAUCUUUGCAUCCCCCGCUGCACCCUGUGCCUGCCCACUGGGCACUCGGUGGAUGGUGUGCGGGCGGAUGGGUGAGUGAGCGGACAAAGGUGGGUCUGAGGCUGGCCCUGUGUGGUGUGAGGUUUGGUGGUCAGGACCUGGGUGGGUGGUCCUGAGUGCUGGCCGCUGUGCUUGAAAGGGCGUGGUGCUAUUGGAUCCUACUGUGUUCCCCAGGUCCCGCAGUCCCCGGAAGCCAAUAGACUCCCUUAGGGACUCUCGGUCCCUCAGCUACUCGCCUGUGGAGCGUCGCCGUCCCUCGCCCCAGCCUUCGCCACGGGACCAGCAGAGCAGCAGCAGUGAGCGGGGUUCCCGGAGAGGCCAGCGUGGGGACAGCCGAUCCCCCAGCCACAAGCGCAGGAGGGAGACACCUAGCCCUCGGCCCAUGAGACACCGCUCCUCCAGGUCUCCAUAAAUUGUCUUUGGGGGAUUCCACCACACCCCAUGCUCUGGAGCCACAGGGAGUGUCCCUUCUUCCCCAGCAGAGCCGUGGGAGGGUCCUUGUCUGCUCUCCUUUGAACCUUAGCAGCCCUUGGAUGAAGGGCUCCCUUUCCCUCCCUUUUUUUUUCUUUGUUCCUGUGAAAUGUUAAUCUCCGUGAGUUCUUCCUGGUUCACGUGUUCUGGGGGGUUUGGGGUGGGAGGGAAUGCAGAUGGGAGUUGGGGGAGGGGAGGAUACAGUUCAGGACACCCCAGCCUGGAGUCAGGGCCAGGGAGGCAUGGCCCCAGUUGUAUCCAAAAGUUCCCAGGGGGUGACUGUGAUGGUGGUUGGGACUGGAGGUUGUGUAAGGUGUUCUUGGAAGGAAGGGGCAGGAGUUGGAAUUAGUUGGUCCCUACUGCCCCCCAUGAGGUUGUGUACCCCUCCCCCCAACUUUUCACGUUUCUUAAAGGCAUUUUGGUUUUUUAAAAUCUGUACAGCAAGAGCAACUUUUUCUGUCAAAUAAAAAUGAGAAAUGCAGGAA